UACAGCCUGCUUCGUGAAACAUGGCGAAACAAAUUGUUGCUAUUGUCGCAAUUAUAUACUUAUUUUUCUGUGAAUCCGAAUACUGAAUUGAACUUCGUUUGUAAAGUCUGUCAAGUCAUUCCAACAAGUUGACAUAGUGCUCAGUCGCUUUCCAUCCAUUGGGGAUCCUUAAUUCCUUAUGCUGUCAAAAGCCUGAAACUCUUAUUUGAAGCCAACUAGUGCAACUAGAAAAAUGUGCCGAGAUGAGGUAUUCUUGCUCAUGGACCAUAGGAUCUUUUCCGAAUCUUGCCAUUUUGAUAGUGUAACCUGUGACUGCAUGUUUGUUAUUACGACCACUUCUACAUCCAUUUAGAAGGCAACCCAGCUGAGAGAUAGAGUUCCAGUUUCAGUGACAACAACAGUGUGAAGUCUUGCCUUGCGCUUGUACAUUUACCAGAUCUGCUUGAUGAAAGUCAAAUGCCUUACUGAAUGUGUCACCCAAAUGAUAAAGCUAAACAUCAUUAUCACCUUUUACCAUGCUACUCCGAGUUACUGACUGAGAAGUUGGACACACCUGCAGUCACUAGCCACAGGAUUAUGCCCAGAUCAUGCAGAGGAGACGUCGAGAAGAUGGACUCCAAAAUUUCGCCGGUAUCUCCA
rnacentral:lncRNA from 1 species